rnacentral:rRNA from 1 species
AUGAACGCUGGCGGCGUGCUUAACACAUGCAAGUCGAACGAAGCACUUUAUUUGAUUUCCUUCGGGACUGAUUAUUUUGUGACUGAGUGGCGGACGGGUGAGUAACGCGUGGGUAACCUGCCUUGUACAGGGGGAUAACAGUUGGAAACGGCUGCUAAUACCGCAUAAGCGCACGGCAUCGCAUGAUGCAGUGUGAAAAACUCCGGUGGUAUAAGAUGGACCCGCGUUGGAUUAGCUAGUUGGUGAGGUAACGGCCCACCAAGGCGACGAUCCAUAGCCGACCUGAGAGGGUGACCGGCCACAUUGGGACUGAGACACGGCCCAAACUCCUACGGGAGGCAGCAGUGGGGAAUAUUGCACAAUGGGCGAAAGCCUGAUGCAGCGACGCCGCGUGAGCGAAGAAGUAUUUCGGUAUGUAAAGCUCUAUCAGCAGGGAAGAUAAUGACGGUACCUGACUAAGAAACACCGGCUAAAUACGU